rnacentral:rRNA from 1 species
UACGUAGGGGGCUAGCGUUGCUCGGAAUCACUGGGCGUAAAGGGUGCGUAGGCGGCGCGGUAAGUCGGGUGUGAAAUCUCGGGGCUUAACUCCGAAACUGCAUUCGAUACUGCCGUGCUUGAGGACUGGAGAGGAGACUGGAAUUUACGGUGUAGCGGUGAAUGCGUAGAUAUCGUAAGGAAGACCAGUGGCGAAGGCGGGUCUCUGGACAGUUCCUGACGCUGAGGCACGAAGGCCAGGGGAGCAAACGGG